AAUACCGCCCCUUUUAGGAUAUCAAGCUUCAUUCUGAUUGCAACCGUACGAAGAUAAAGAUAGAAAUUAAAACGUAUCUAAUAACCGUGUCUUCAUUACUGCCGAUCAACCUUCUACACAAUAUUCUGCCAGAGAAUUUAGAAGAGGAGGUUCUCAAUUCAGUAUUCAUUCCGGUUCUAUCAGAUAAACGUGCCAACAAGUCGCAAGAUAUCGCACAUGAGGGUGAACGCAACAGUAAUAUUACUAAACAGGAUACCACUUACCAGUGGUUCCUCCCUUGACUUGAUUGACUAGUUGCCACCAGAACAUUUUAUUCGCACUGAAUUUGAAGCAUUUUUGGCGUGCAUAGGCAACGAUGGUAUUAUCUACUUAUACGACCUUGCUCAUAUCAACAAUACAUAAGAGACCUUAUGAUGAAUGUGAAUAUGUAUAAUGAAGCUGAAUAUGUCACCGCUGAAUGGAAUAUUUGAGAAUAAACCAUGUAUUGCAUUAUAUCUAUAGAUAGGUGGUUGAUGGAACCGAGCAGCGAUUUUAUAAUUAUGUACGUUCAUAGUGACACUAACCGUCCCGUUAUCCCGUUAGCUACAAGGGAGAUUAUUACAAGAUUGCCAAAGCUUUCCCGCUAAUUUUAAUGUCAAAUUAUUCGGCUUGAGCUUAAACCGCGACACAGACAUAUUUGUGGGAAAAGGAUCUUUUUUAUCUGGGAUUACGAA